AGGAGUCCCCUGCUCAACAGCGUGCUCCUGGUGAUACUGCCACCCGUAACGGGUACUGGCUUUGCUAACAUCCUGACGAGACGUCGGGGAGAGACGGGAAGUGGCAGGGUUGGGCAAGAUAGAGGAGGAAAGGACUCUACCUCAUGGCUUGUCCAGAAGAGGGCAGGGCCACCCCUGCAGCCAGGCCUCCCGGGCCCUGGAGGUAGGAGGGGGACGAUGGCCUCUAAGAGCACUCUGAGACCAGGAGCCUGUUCUCUCGGGCCUGAAGGCUUCGCUUCCACUGUUCUACGCUGCCGCCCUGGCCUGGCCACCUCCCCUCCACUGUGUGGCUGGCUUUUCUCUGCCUUCUGCUGCCUGAUGGGAUCUCCCACUCACCUCCACGAGGAUCUGAGAGGAAAGGGUGCUGAGGAGAGGAGCGUGGAGUGGGCAGGCUCUUGAUGCCAAGCCAAGAAUCUGCAUGGCUCAUUUGAAACUUCGCAGUGCCCUUUAUCUCUUGUUCUCUUUUAUGUAUAAGCUCGUCUUUCUCCCAUACAGUUGUAAACCCCAAAGGGUAGGGACUGUAUUCGGUUCCUUAUUUAUAUCCUGUAAGACAGUGACUCUCAAACUCAUCAGAAUCACCUGGGGAGUUUUAAAAACUUGAUUCCUCCAGAAACCAUAAAGACCAAAGAUUUAAAAAUAUCACCAUAUUAAAACAGAAUGAAGCAAAAUCCUUCUGUAAAGCUAAACAAACAAACAAACUCAUGAAUCAGUCAGAAGAAAUUAUAAACAAGGGGAAAACAGUAUUUGGAAUAUAGAUGGAAGACACACUAAUUUCUUUAAUUUGCAACAAAUGUCUAUAAAUAAGAAAUAUACAAACAACUCAAUAAAUGCUGGGCCAGGAAUCUGAACUGGCAGAACAUGGAAAAGAAAUACCAGUGACCAAGAAACAUAUGAAGAGCUGCUCAUCCUUCCUCAGAAAUAAAGAGACGCAAAUCAGAACAAUGCCAGACCACUUUUCAUGAAUCUGAUUAGCAAAAAUUAUAAAGUUUCAUGAUGCCCAUUGCUGAUGAGAGUAUGGAAGCAGAUGCCAGUGAAUGCAAACUUGGUGGAUUUUGGCACCUGUGUGACAAGGUGGGGCGGUGGUUCUCACACCUGCAUGAGCUUCUGAAUCACAUGAUGAACUUUUAAAAACAUAGAUUCUCUGCGCCCCCAUCCCAUACUGCCAUAAGGCACCCGCGUGUAACUAAGGGCACAAUUUGUGAAGUUCGAAAUGGUAAUAGAGACCAGACUAGUAAAUUUCAACUAAAGGAAUUUUGUCAACAUACAUCAACAUUUUUAAAACAUGAGUAACCUUUGACCCAGCAAUUCUACUGAUGGGAGCUGAUUCUGAAAUUUCCCACAGAAGAGUAUCAACGUCGGCAAGAAUGGAUGCCCACAGCAGCAUUAUUUGUAUAGCAAACAACCUCAAUGUCCAUCAAUAGGAACCUGGAUAAAUAAACUGUGGCACACUCUUAGAUCUUUUAAAGAGAUUUAGUAGGAACUCCAUUUGCUGAUAUAGAGCAGUCUCUGAGUUAUGUUGUGCAAUGAAAAAAUCAAGCAGCAGAGCAGUAUAAAUGGUGUAAUCCAUUUUCCACAUAACUUUUAAAAUGACACACCAUAUACUUUGGUAAAUGCACAAAUUCUUUUUCAAUGGAAAAUCUACAAGAAGCUGAUAACAGUGGCAACUUUGAGGGAAGGAUGAGAAGAGAGGUUCUUACCUUUCAUUCAGUACUGCUUGAUUUUCCUACUUCCUACUUUGUGCAUUGAUUAGUUUUAGUGGAGAACUUCAGUAAGUGUCAUCUGAAAGGUGGAGUUAUGGGACAAUUUUGGUUUCUCCUUUAGAGUUUUCUGUAAAGGAUAUUCAAUAAUUGAAGAUUCUCAGGCCAUAUACCAGAUACACCAAGUUUGGGUGGAGAUGCUGGCAUGGGACUCUAGAAAUCAGCUUGUCGUGUGAUUCUGCUCAUCAGUCAGGUUUGAGACUCACUGCAGAAGAUUCUGGAAGAAAAAUGCUCUCUUCUCUAGCUCAGGGGUUAUGAGGAUGAGAGGGUGGGGUGGCUGCAGCCCUUUUGUUUCCAUGAAAGGAGAACCUGAAUGACCUUGUGCAACCUAAGGUCAAAGAAAUGCAUGGCUGGCAAGUAAACCACAGAGAGGAACUUGUCCGCUGGUACAUCAGUAGGCCACAGAAUCAUGCCUUUCCCGAAGAAGGACGUCCUGUGUCUAGACUUUUCAGUUAUGAAGCCAAUACGUCCUCUUUGUUGUUUAAUGCAGCUUGAGUUAGGUCUUUUGUCACAUGCAAUAUUAAGAAUCCUAACUGAUAGACCUCCACUGAGACAAGCUGAGUAUGUCUUUAUCUCUUGCAGACUGAAAUUGCCUAAUUUAUAAAGUAUUUCAUGAUGUUUGCAAGAUAAACCCUUGUCUGCUGCCUUGGGCUACAUCUGAUGAUUGCCUGCAAUAUUUCUGCCUCUAGAAAUGAACUGUCAAACCAAGAAGUAUGUCCUUGGAAUGCAUCCUCCACUUUAGCAAAAGAAUUAUGUGUUUUGUUUGCUCUUCAUCAUGUAACUCUUGAAUAAAUUUGGAUGCAACAGAUUAAGGGCAUAACCAGGAAAUAU
rnacentral:lncRNA from 1 species